GGUUGACCUCGGAUCAGGUAGGAGUUACCCGCUGAACUUAAGCAUAUCAAUAAGCGGAGGAAAAGAAACCAACCGGGAUUGCCUCAGUAACGGCGAGUGAAGCGGCAAGAGCUCAAAUUUGAAAUCUGGCCCCUUGGGGUCCGAGUUGUAAUUUGCAGAGGAUGCUUCGGGUGCGGUCCCCAUCUAAGUGCCCUGGAACGGGCCGUCAUAGAGG
rnacentral:rRNA from 1 species